GUUGAAACCUCAAAAGGAAAUGACCGGGGCCCGCACCAAGCGGUGGAAGCAUGUGGUUUCAUUCGACGCAACGGGAAGAACCUUACCAGCCCUUGACUUGUGACUCGCCGGCUCCAGAGACGGAGCCUUUCGGUUUCGGCCGGAGUCACACACAGGUGCUGCAUGGCUGUCGUCAGCUCGUGUCGUGGGAUGUUGGGUUAAGUCCCGCAACGAGCGCAACCCUCGUCUCCAGUUGCCAUCAGGUAAAGCUGGGCACUUUGGAGAAACUGCCGGUGACAAGCCGGAGGAAGGUGGGGAUGACGUCAAGUCCUCAUGGCCCUUACGGGCUGGGCUACACACGUGCUACAAUGGCGGUGACAGUGGGAUGCGAAGGGGCGACCCGGAGCCGAUCCUAAAAAGCCGUCUCAGUUCGGAUUGCACUCUGCAACUCGAGUGCAUGAAGGUGGAAUCGCUAGUAAUCGAGGAUCAGCAUGCCUCGGUGAAUACGUUCCCGGGCCUUGUACACACCGCCCGUCACGCCAUGGGAGUUGGUUCUACCCGAAGAUGGUGCGCUAACCGCAAGGAGGCAGCCAGCCACGGUAGGAUCAAUGACUGGGGCGAAGUCGUAACAAGGUAACCGUAAAUCGAAUUGGAAAGCGG
rnacentral:rRNA from 1 species